GGAGCAGCCAAACCCAAAGGUCUCUCCGGCGUCAGUGGGGAGAUCUUGUCUGGUUUGCCGACAGAAACCGGUCCUUGUCGCCUUUCCCCGGCUCCACCGUGCUGAUGAAAGUGAAUCCAAGGACCGACACGU